AAAGAGCACAAGGUGUUCGCUGGCCACUUGUGGCUGGAGGAAAGUCCGAGCUCCACAUGGCAGGUCGCUGGAUAACACCCAGUCAAGGUGACUUGGAGGAAAGUGCAACAGAGAGUAGUCAGCCAUCCAUUGGAUUCCCAACCGCAUCAGAACAACCCCUUAUUGGGCAUGGUUCUGCUGAGGAGGAGUAUGCCUAAUAUUAGACAUACGGUGAAGUUGAAAGGGUGCGGUAAGAGCGCACCGGCGAUGUUGGUGACAGCAUCGGCCAGGCAAACCCCGACCGGAGCAAGACCAAAUGUGAUACAGGACAGCCUGUCUGAUAAAAUCCGGGUAGGUCGCUUCGCUCAGGCGAGAGCAUAUGGGUAACCAUAUGUCUAGAUGAAUGAACACCACCUCGAAAGAGGUACAGAACUCGGCUUAUUGUGCUCUUUGCAU
rnacentral:RNase_P_RNA from 1 species